UAACCCUUUGUUGUCCGACUCUGUUGCCUCCGGGGCGACCCUGCCUUCGGGCGGGGGCUCCGGGUGGACACUUCAAACUCUUGCGUAACUUUGCAGUCUGAGUAAACUUAAUUAAUAAAUUAAAACUUUUAACAACGGAUCUCUUGGUUCUGGCAUCGAUGAAGAACGCAGCGAAAUGCGAUAAGUAAUGUGAAUUGCAGAAUUCAGUGAAUCAUCGAAUCUUUGAACGCACAUUGCGCCCCCUGGUAUUCCGGGGGGCAUGCCUGUUCGAGCGUCAUUUCACCACUCAAGCCUCGCUUGGUAUUGGGCAACGCGGUCCGCCGCGUGCCUCAAAUCGACCGGCUGGGUCUUCUGUCCCCUAAGCGUUGUGGAAACUAUUCGCUAAAGGGUGCUCGGGAGGCUACGCCGUAAAACAAACCCAUUUCUAAGGUUGACCUCGGAUCAGGUAGGGAUACCCGCUGAACUUAAGCAUAU
rnacentral:rRNA from 1 species